UUUGUCGUGAAAGCCCCGGGCUCAACCUGGGAAUUGCGAUGAAGACUGCAAGGCUUGAAUCUGGCAGAGGGGGGUAGAAUUCCACGUGUAGCAGUGAAAUGCGUAGAGAUGUGGAGGAACACCGAUGGCGAAGGCAGCCCCCUGGGUCAAGAUUGACGCUCAUGCACGAAAGCGUGGGGAGCAAACAGGAUUAGAUACCCUGGUAGUCCACGCCCUAAACGAUGUCUACUAGUUGUCGGGUUUUAAUUAACUUGGUAACGCAGCUAACGCGUGAAGUAGACCGCCUGG
rnacentral:rRNA from 1 species